AAGGUAGAGGUUCGCAAACUUCCCUCUCUAAAAAACUAAGCAUAA
rnacentral:ncRNA from 2 species